AGUGAACGCUGGCGGUAGGCCUAACACAUGCAAGUCGAACGGCAGCACAGUAAGAGCUUGCUCUUACGGGUGGCGAGUGGCGGACGGGUGAGGAAUACAUCGGAAUCUACUUUUUCGGGGGGGAUAACGUAGGGAAACUUACGCUAAUACCGCAUACGACCUACGGGGGAAAGCAGGGGAUCUUCGGACCUUGCGCGAUUGAAUGAGCCGAUGUCGGAUUAGCUAGUUGGCGGGGUAAAGGCCCACCAAGGCGACGAUCCGUAGCUGGUCUGAGAGGAUGAUCAGCCACACUGGAACUGAGACACGGUCCAGACUCCUACGGGAGGCAGCAGUGGGGAAUAUUGGACAAUGGGCGCAAGCCUGAUCCAGCCAUACCGCGUGGGUGAAGAAGGCCUUCGGGUUUUAAAGCCCUUUUGUUGGGAAAGAAAAGCAGCAGGUUAAUACCCCGCUGUUCUGACGGUACCCAAAGAAUAAGCACCGGCUAACUUCGUG
rnacentral:rRNA from 1 species